ACUUGGGAGGAUUAGAUCAAGAUUAGAAACACACUGCCUCCCUGCUGCUUGCUUUCCCGCCUAAUGACCCACUUGACUGAGGCCCCACAAAGGGGCUAGGUGUCGAAAAAAAAAGGAAAGACCUGUUUACCCAGCAAAAACUCUCAUACAGCCUGGCUCCUCCCUUAUCUCUUUGGAAUAGUUUCUCGGAGCUAUCUAAGAUGCUGCUUCCCGGCUUGUAGUCCUCAGCACUGGGUACCACUAUGAAGAAACAGAAAAAAGGGUUCCCUGGUGGCCUACUGACUAAGGGUCUGGCAUUGUCACUGCUGUGGCUCACUUCACUGCUGUGGUGUGGGUUUGAUACCUGACCUUUGAAUUUCCACAUGAUUCAGGCAAGCCCCCCAAAAAAAGAAGAAAGAAGAAACAGAAAAAAUUCCUGUUUCUAUGGAGCUUACAAUUCUACUGGAAAGUAGUGAUAAUAGACAGAUAAAUAUUUUUUUUUCUUUUUACAGCUGGUAAAGUCCCAGGGUAGGGUUUUAAUCAGAGAUGCAGCUGAGGCCUAUACCACAGCCACAGCAACACCAGAUCCAAGCUGCAUCUGUGACCUACACCAUAGUGUCAUCCUUAAACCACUGAGUCACAAUGAGAACUCCGAUAAAUAAAACUAUACUCAGCCCUUUGCUGUCACUGACAUAGCCUCUUUUUACAAGGUUUUUCUUGGCCAGCUUGUGAGUUCCAGAAUCCUACCUACAGCCUUUCCUAAUAUUCUGUCUUGUUAAAAUCUCCACCCAUUGAACCCUCCUUUCAUCCUUUCAGCAAGCAUUUAUUGAGUACCUACCAGUAUCAGUGGGGGGGGGCAAAAUAAUUAUAAUUGUAAAUUUUAUAACCUUUGAAAUUAGCUUAAGUAUUUAUGUAAUCCAUUAUAAUAAACUUCAGCAAAGAUUCCUUACAAUAUGGUUUAUUAGUCUAUAAUUUGUUUGAGAGUACUAUUAUACAUUUAAAGUUGGAUUCAUGAGUGUGUGCUCUGUACAAUUGCAAAGUGCUUUGUGCUCAGAAGGGCUCCAUACUUUAAUGCUCUGCAGUGACUGUCUUGAAGGUUUUAUUUUUUUAUUUUAUUUAUUUAUUUAUUU